rnacentral:lncRNA from 1 species
UUCGUCUGCCCACGUGUUCUCGCAUACCCCUAGAGCAUCGAGCCAGCGGGGGGGUGGCACUGGAAUCCUCAUCUCUCCCAAGUGGACAUUCUCUCUUUCUCCCCUGACCCAUCUGUCUAUCUCCUCAUUUGAAUUCCAUGCUGUCACAGUUACCAGCCCUUUCAAGCUUAACAUCCUUAUCAUUUAUCGCCCUCCAGGUUCCCUUGGAGAGUUCAUCAAUGAGCUUGACGCCUUGAUAAGUUCCUUUCCUGAGGAUGGCUCACCUCUCACAGUUCUGGACCAUUUCCGGAGACCUUCUCCCCUACCUCACCUCGCUCAUCAACUCAUCCUUGACCGCUGGCUACGUCCCUUCCGUCUUCAAGAGAGAGAGAGUUGCACCCCUUCUGAAAAAACCUACACUCGAUCCCUCCGAUGUCAACAACUACAGACCAACCUAUCUGCUGCCUUUGAUACUGUGAACCAUCAGAUCCUCCUCUCCACCCUCUCCGAGUUGGGCAUCUCCGGC